rnacentral:lncRNA from 1 species
ACUAGCUUCUACUGUUUAUCUCCCUGCAUACGCAUAACAGAAACUCAUCCGUGCAGACACAAGGCCGUCAACAGCCAUCUCCUCACUCCAGAAGGCCACUCCUCACUUGCUGCCCACUCCCCCAAAAGCUCAAGUGGAUGGAGGCACACAUCCCUCGCCGACUCACUGCCACUGGACACAGACUCGCCCACAGGAACCAAAAUCCCCUCACCUCAAACCC